AGAGUUUGAUCCUGGCUCAGAGCGAACGCUGGCGGCAGGCCUAACACAUGCAAGUCGAGCGGGCACCGCAAGGUGUCAGCGGCAGACGGGAGAGUAACACGUGGGAACGUGCCCUUCGGUUCGGAAUAACUCGGGGAAACUCGUGCUAAUACCGAAUACGCCCUUACGGGGAAAGAUUUAUCGCCGAUGGAGCGGCCCGCGUCUGAUUAGCUAGUUGGUGAGGUAACGGCUCACCAAGGCGACGAUCAGUAGCUGGUCUGAGAGGAUGAUCAGCCUCACUGGGACUGAGACACGGCCCAGACUCCUACGGGAGGCAGCAGUGGGGAAUAUUGGACAAUGGGCGCAAGCCUGAUCCAGCCCAUGCCGCGUGGAUGAUGAAAGGCCUUAGGGUUGUAAAGUCCUCUUAACGGGGGAAGAUAAUGACGGGUACCCCGUAAAAAAAAGCCCCCGGCUAACUUUCGUGGCCAGCAGCCCGCCGGUAAAUACCAAAGGGGGCUAGCGUUUGCUUCGGAAUUUACUGGGGGGUAAAAGCGCACGUAAGCGGGUUCUUUAAGUCCGGGGGUGAAAUCCUGGGAACUCAACUCCCAGAACUGGCCUUUCAUACUGUAGAGCCUUGGACGAUCAGGAUGAGGUGAAGUGGAACUUGCGACGUCUAGAGCUGACAACUUCCGAGUAGAUAUCGGCAGGACCAACCAGUCGCGAAAGGCGUCUCACUUGGGCCCGGAUACUGACACCGGGAGGUGCGAAACGCGUGGGGGCAGCCACAACAGGGUAUUAGAAUACCCGUGGGUGAGUCCCACCGCUGUAAAACAGAAUGAAUUUGUUACGACCCUGUUUGUUCAAGCGCUUGCCCUUGUCCCAUGUGGGCGCAGCUAUACCGCAUUUAACGCAAUUCCGCGCUUGGGGAGAUACGGUUCGCCAAGAUUAUAAAACUUCAAAGGGAAAUGGACGGGGGGCCCCGCCACAAAGCCGGGUGAGACCAUUGUGGGUGUCUAUUUCGAGAUACGCACACACGGCGAAAGAAACCCUAACCCAGCCCCUGACACAUGUUCUUUUAAUGAGAUUCCCAGAGGACGAGAUGUCCUUUCCACCUUCGGGGUGGGGAGGAAACACCCAGGUUGCUGGCCAUGGCUGUCCGUCAGCCUCCGUGUCCGUGAGGAUGGUUUGGGUUAAGUCCCCGCCAACGAGCGCAACCCUCGGGCCUUAGUGGCCAUCAUUUAGUUGGGCACUCUAAGGCGACUGCCCGGUGAUAAGCCGGAGGAAGGUGGGGAUGACGUCAAGUCCUCAUGGCCCUUACGGGCUGGGCUACACACGUGCUACAAUGGCGGUGACAGAGGGAUGCAAAGGCGCAAGCCUUCGCAAAUCUCAAAAAGCCGUCUCAGUUCGGAUUGGGGUCUGCAACUCGACCCCAUGAAGCUGGAAUCGCUAGUAAUCGCGGAUCAGCACGCCGCGGUGAAUACGUUCCCGGGCCUUGUACACACCGCCCGUCACACCAUGGGAGUUGGGUUUACCUUAAGACGGUGCGCUAACCCGCAAGGGGAGCAGCCGGCCACGGUAGGCUCAGCGACUGGGGUGAAGUCGUAACAAGGUAACC
rnacentral:rRNA from 1 species